rnacentral:tRNA from 1 species
AAGAAAGAAGCAUAAGUGGUUUAAUGCGGUUGGCUUGAAACCAGCGUACGAGGGUUCAACUCCUUCCUUUCUUG